rnacentral:lncRNA from 1 species
GGAAAAUAAUGCAAUCAAUUAGACCAAGAGCCUGCACAACAUCCUCUUUGACACUUGAUGUGGCUGUAGCAGUUAAAGGUGGGCUAUAAGCUACAAAAUCAUAACAUUUUGGAAGCUUAGUUAGAAGUAUGGCUUUGCACUGCAGUGACUAAGACUAAAAACAAGAACAAGAAACAAUAGCUAAAUCAACAAGCAAAUGACUCGCCCAUUCACAAGAAACAAUAGCUAAAUCAACAAGCAAAGGAACAAACUGAUUAGACAUAAUUAUGUGGACAACAAUAAGCAGCGCAGUGUGCAAAUUGGUUAUGGAAGAAUUUGACCUGAUAUUGAUUCCAAGUAUUCUAAAAGUUGAGGACCUAUUCGAGUGGAUGGCCAUUUAAUUGAAAUCUUAAGUGUAAUCAACAACAUUCUGAAAAGGUAAUUCUACUUGAUCUAACAAGAUCACUGGUACACACUCAUGUAUAACAAAAGAAGUUACAUUGGUUGAACUAGUCUCAUGUGUUUAAAUGUCUGAGUCAGACAUACAGAGCGACUAAGAGAGAGCGUGUGAGACCACAAAAAAUAACUCAUAAAACCGAAGAGUCCAAGACGAUUCGCCACGAGGAGCCAGGCAGAACUUGGCAUUGCGGAGAUGUUGAAAACAAUCUAUCUUUCCCAGUUUAUCAGGGCCACUAAACUUCAACUCUGGAGAUUCUAACUGUUUCAGGUUGCAUACAUUUUGGAAAGCAUCAACAAAAUUAUAAACAAAGCAACUUUGUAACUAAAUACAUGACAAUAAACCUUAUAAUUCAAACCAUUAAGUACAUAAAGCAUUUUUGCAUGUAAGCAUGAGUAGGAAAAUUGAUCAACAUUCUUAGUUAAACCAAUAAGAACGUGGAGCAAAUGGCCCUUUUAAAGUUCAAAAAAUGUGACAUGAAUUAAAAAAACAUGGAGUGAUGUUCUGAUAUCUGCAGAUGCAUAACAUUAUACUUGGGUACACAGAAGAGCAGCAUCGCUAUUGAUACAUGUAACUUAAAAAUUAUUUGCUAUAAACGGCCAGACAUAGGGCCAUAGAUAAUUGCUAUAAGCAGCCAGAGAUCCACUAAAUGGAAUAGUGCCCAUUGCCAAGCCUAUCUAUGGAUCACUCCCAUAUACAUAAUUACA